GACGAACGCUGGCGGCGUGCUUAACACAUGCAAGUCGAGCGGUAAGGCCCUUUCGGGGGUACACGAGCGGCGAACGGGUGAGUAACACGUGGGUGACCUGCCCUCAGCUCUGGGAUAAGCCUGGGAAACCGGGUCUAAUACUGGAUAUGACUCCAUGACGCAUGUUGUGGGGUGGAAAGCCUUGUGCGGCUGAGGAUGGGCCCGCGGCCUAUCAGCUUGUUGGUGGGGUGAUGGCCUACCAAGGCGACGACGGGUAGCCGGCCUGAGAGGGCGACUGGCCACACUGGGACUGAGACACGGCCCAGACUCCUACGGGAGGCAGCAGUGGGGAAUCUUGCGCAAUGGGCGAAAGCCUGACGCAGCGACGCCGCGUGAGGGAUGACGGCCUGGUU
rnacentral:rRNA from 1 species